rnacentral:rRNA from 1 species
CAGCACUAAGUGGGUGGUAAACUCCAUCUAAAACUAAAUAUAACCAUGAGACCGAUAGCAAACAAGUACCGUGAGGGAAAGUUGAAAAGAACUCUGAAUAGAGAGUUAAAUAGUACGUGAAACUGCAUAGAGGUUAAGCCCGAUGAACCUGAAUAUCCGUUGUAGAAAAUUCAUCAUCAGUAUUAUAGUAUUUUUUUAAAUACUAUAUAAUGGUUGUGCACUUUUUCUACUUAAGGACAUUGUAAUCUAUUAAUGUAUAAAUGCGUAUUAAAAGAGCUUUAACAUUAGUUUAUUUUUUAUUAGCAUUGUUAAUUAAAAUAAAUGUUUUAGUUUCGAAUAUGCCAUUGAUAGAUUUCUAUAUAUAGUACUAAAAUUUUUUUAAAUUUUAUAAUAAUAUAUUUGUCAUUGAUUUAUAUGUUUAUUAUAUGUACUUAUAUGAUUUACAAUGCGAAAGAUUCAGGAUACCUUCGGGACCC